rnacentral:rRNA from 1 species
UGGGGAAUUUUGGACAAUGGGCGAAAGCCUGAUCCAGCAAUGCCGCGUGUGUGAAGAAGGCCUUCGGGUUGUAAAGCACUUUUGUCCGGAAAGAAAUCCUCUGGGUUAAUACCUCGGGGGGAUGACGGUACCGGAAGAAUAAGCACCGGCUAACUACGUGCCAGCAGCCGCGGUAAUACGUAGGGUGCAAGCGUUAAUCGGAAUUACUGGGCGUAAAGCGUGCGCAGGCGGUUUUGUAAGACGGAUGUGAAAUCCCCGGGCUUAACCUGGGAACUGCAUUCGUGACUGCAAGGCUAGAGUAUGGCAGAGGGGGGUAGAAUUCCACGUGUAGCAGUGAAAUGCGUAGAGAUGUGGAGGAAUACCGAUGGCGAAGGCAGCCCCCUGGGCCAAUACUGACGCUCAUGCACGAAAGCGUGGGGAGCAAACAGGAUUAGAUACCCUGGUAGUCCACGCCCUAAAACGAUGUCAACUAGUUGUUGGGGGAUUCAUUUCCUUAGUAACGUAGCUAACGCGUGAAGUUGACCGCCUGGGGAGUACGGUCGCAAGAUUAAAACUUAAAGGAAUUGACGGGGUCAUAGCUGUUUCCU